UACGUAGGGAGCAAGCGUUAAUCGGAAUUACUGGGCGUAAAGCGUGCGCAGGCGGUUUUGUAAGCCAGAUGUGAAAUCCCCGGGCUUAACCUGGGAAUGGCAUUUGGGACUGCAAGGCUGGAGUGUGGCAGAGGAGACUGGAAUUCCUGGUGUAGCAGUGAAAUGCGUAGAUAUCAGGAGGAAUACCGAUGGCGAAGGCAGGUCUCUGGGCCGACACUGACGCUCAUGCACGAAAGCGUGGGGAGCAAACAGG
rnacentral:rRNA from 1 species